GUUUUGAACAGUUUCUAACAAAAUAUUAUAAAAAUCCGAUUGUUCAGCCACAGCCAGUGAAUGCAUGAUUGAAACAGAAUUUACAUGAGUAGGUUCUCCACGUACACAUCCAAUUCAUAAAUAUGAAGGCAGAACACUAAAAACCAAAAAUAAAAUGGAAUGCACCAUAUAUCACACAUGUAGUCAGGUAUUAAUACAUACAUAUGUACAAAUUGAAGAUUCAGGCACUUCAUCUAAGAAAAAAAAGAUUCAUGUACUAGCCAGGAACAUAAUAAUCCAUCUUUUCCACAGGCAG
rnacentral:misc_RNA from 1 species